UACGGAGGGUGCGAGCGUUGUCCGGAAUCACUGGGCGUAAAGGGCGCGUAGGCGGCGCGGGUAGUCAUCGGUGAAAGUUCAGGGCUCAACUCUGAAUCGGCCGGUGAUACUCCCGUGCUCGAGCACUGUAGAGGCAGGUGGAAUUCCGGGUGUAGCGGUGGAAUGCGUAGAGAUCCGGAAGAACACCGGUGGCGAAGGCGGCUCUCUGGGACGGUACUGACGCUGAGACGCGAAAGCGUGGGGAGCGAACAGG
rnacentral:rRNA from 1 species